ACACAAACCGGCUGACUCACCUUACAGUUGGGGCUCGACUUCUUGAAAACUCUGAGAGGUUUGGAAAGAGGAAGAAGAGGGACGACAGAGGAAGAAAAACAAAGACACUCAUGAUGCAAACAAGCAAAGGAAGAACCUGAGCUGCAGGUCUGUAGUUUCCCACGUUUGGCAACAGGACAUCUCGACCUGGUUGCACUUGUCUAAAGAUCACGUCCUCAUUCAGCAAUAAUGAGAAACAUGAAGGCAGGGUGUGAACUCCACUUCCUGCUGAGGUGACAAAGGCUCAUCAGCAAACAGCCUGAGGACCUGCGGGACUGCAGGUGCAGCUUCACCACCUGCUAACUUCUUUAUAUUCUACGUAUAUACGUUCGAUGAAAACACAGACGGUCACCAGCGUAGCAGCAGAAGUGCAACCUGUGGGGGAAAGUUUUAAUCAGAUCUGACCAGGUGACCAGGUGACCAGUGACGGUGCAGCUUCGUCUCCGUCCCUGAUCGAGCGGCGGGACCUGCCUAUAUGAAGACUUUGGGAGAAGGUGCCCAGAUAUAACAAGAUGUCAGUUGGAAGUUAAAAUCUCCAGCUGGGCGUAAACUAGAAGAGACCGGCUGAUUUUAAUCUCUGCACAAGCAGCAGCACAGGAACCAGCCGCCGGCUUCUGAUCCACGCUCCUCGCCGCCGGCGUGGUGUGGAAACAAAGGGAGUAAAGCUCUGCAGGAAAACAGCCGGCUGCACGCAGACACGCUUUAACGCUGAUCCACCUGCAGCCGGACGGUCAGCUGGGACGGCAGCUCAGACAAAACCCCCUGCGGCAGCAGACUGCGUCACCUGAACGUGACGCGAUGCUGCGACUUCAUGCCUGGACAAGAAGUGAGAGCUCGGUGCCUGCUGGGAAUUACUGUUUAUACCCAGCUCUGUGUUUGUGUGUGUGAGAGAGAGAGAGAGACAGAGUGGCGAGUUGUUUUUCUGCAAAUUAAA